ACUGUAUGAACUUGUCCACCAAGACCUUUCCACAGCCAGGUAGAUCCUAGCCUGUUCUGCACUCCCGGGUUAUAUUUUUACAGAUAGAGCUCUGGAAUAUUAACUAAGCUUCUCAUGCAGAUAGCUAGAUCUAAAACACCUAGUUCAAGAGUCAUCAUGUCGUCCUGUAGGAAUGGGCAGGAAGAAGGAAAAGAUAGAGGGACAAAAGUUUUUUGUCUCAUCAUACUCUUCAUAUACAUGCUGUGCAUGGUGGCUUCAUUAAGGUGGAUUCUGCGAAAAUGGAAUAAAGUUAAACCUCCACCCAGAAGACACCACAGAAUAAAAGGUAACAUGAAAAAACUGGCAUUGAAGUUUCAGGCAAC